GUCGGCGUGCUUAACACAUGCAAGUCGAACGGAAAGGCCCUGCUUUUGUGGGGUGCUCGAGUGGCGAACGGGUGAGUAACACGUGAGUAACCUGCCCUUGACUUUGGGAUAACUUCAGGAAACUGGGGCUAAUACCGGAUAGGAGCUCCUGCUGCAUGGUGGGGGUUGGAAAGUUUCGGCGGUUGGGGAUGGACUCGCGGCUUAUCAGCUUGUUGGUGGGGUAGUGGCUUACCAAGGCUUUGACGGGUAGCCGGCCUGAGAGGGUGACCGGCCACAUUGGGACUGAGAUACGGCCCAGACUCCUACGGGAGGCAGCAGUGGGGAAUAUUGCACAAUGGGCGGAAGCCUGAUGCAGCAACGCCGCGUGCGGGAUGACGGCCUUCGGGUUGUAAACCGCUUUCGCCUGUGACGAAGCGUGAGUGACGGUAAUGGGUAAAGAAGCACCGGCUAACUACGUGCCAGCAGCCGCGGUGAUACGUAGGGUGCGAGCGUUGUCCGGAUUUAUUGGGCGUAAAGGGCUCGUAGGUGGUUGAUCGCGUCGGAAGUGUAAUCUUGGGGCUUAACCCUGAGCGUGCUUUCGAUACGGGUUGACUUGAGGAAGGUAGGGGAGAAUGGAAUUCCUGGUGGAGCGGUGGAAUGCGCAGAUAUCAGGAGGAACACCAGUGGCGAAGGCGGUUCUCUGGGCCUUUCCUGACGCUGAGGAGCGAAAGCGUGGGGAGCGAACAGGCUUAGAUACCCUGGUAGUCCACGCUGUAAACGGUGGGUACUAGGUGUGGGGUCCAUUCCACGGGUUCCGUGCCGUAGCUAACGCUUUAAGUACCCCGCCUGGGGAGUACGGCCGCAAGGCUAAAACUCAAAGGAAUUGACGGGGCCCCGCACAAGCGGCGGAGCAUGCGGAUUAAUUCGAUGCAACGCGUAGAACCUUACCUGGGUUUGACAUGGAUCGGGAGUGCUCAGAGAUGGGUGUGCCUCUUUUGGGGUCGGUUCACAGGUGGUGCAUGGCUGUCGUCAGCUCGUGUCGUGAGAUGUUGGGUUAAGUCCCGCAACGAGCGCAACCCUUGUUCACUGUUGCCAGCACGUUAUGGUGGGGACUCAGUGGAGACCGCCGGGGUCAACUCGGAGGAAGGUGGGGAUGACGUCAAGUCAUCAUGCCCCUUAUGUCCAGGGCUUCACGCAUGCUACAAUGGCUGGUACAGAGAGUGGCGAGCCUGUGAGGGUGAGCGAAUCUCGGAAAGCCGGUCUCAGUUCGGAUUGGGGUCUGCAACUCGACCUCAUGAAGUCGGAGUCGCUAGUAAUCGCAGAUCAGCAACGCUGCGGUGAAUACGUUCCCGGGGCUUGUACACACCGCCCGUCAAGUCAUGAAAGUUGGUAACACCCGAAGCCGGUGGCCUAACCGUUGUGGGGGAGCCGUCGAAGGUGGGACUGGUGAUUAG
rnacentral:rRNA from 1 species